rnacentral:tRNA from 1 species
CCCCGGGUGGCCGAGGAUCUCGGCGGGCCGGCCGGUCAUCCCGGCCGCCUCGGCGAACCACGGCGCCGGCCCGGGCUCGGGCUCGGCCCCCGGC